CGCCCCCACUUUUUUGGUCAUCUCGCCCCCUAAUUUGUUGUUUUAAUUUGAUGUAUUUUACAAGUUCAAAGUCAAGCCAUUUUUAGUUCCUUGCAUCUCAGUACUAUGUUAUUACUUUGUUAUCACUAAAUAUUGAAAAUUUUCCUCGUAACUGCAUAUUUUCGAGGAUAUUUGCAUCUAAGUUUCCACCGGCUUACGUAGUACUAGUCAUCGCUCGUUCUGACUCGACUGGCUUAGUUCUAGUGACGGAGCUUACGGAUGAAUGCUUGAAUUCAGUUGCAGAUGCAGUACAUACAAUUUGCACUUAUAUGAAGGAAGCACUGGGAAAGUACAUCUACUUUUCAAGAAUGCCACAGGCCAGAAACAAAUCCAGAUUGGAUACAGGGACCGACAUGCUGGGAAGAUGGGUCCUUGAUAAUUCACUGAACACAGAGCUGCAGAUGUGACUUGGCAUAGUGACCUAAGAGUGGGAGCGGUAUGGAACCGUUGAAGCAAUUCACCGAACACUGUUGAAGCAAUUCACUGAACACAGUCAGAGCUGCAUGUGUGACU